rnacentral:tRNA from 1 species
AAAAGAUUAGUUUAUAAAAAACAUUAAUUUGUCAAGUUAAAGAAAUUAAAAUAAUAUCUUUUU